GAUGAAGAACGUAGCGAAAUGCGAUACUUGGUGUGAAUUGCAGAAUCCCGUGAACCAUCGAGUCUUUGAACGCAAGUUGCGCCCGAAGCCAUUAGGCCGAGGGCACGCCUGCCUGGGCGUCACACGUCGUUGCCCCCCCAUCUACUCCUUCGGGGUUGCGGGGGGCGGAUGAUGGCCUCCCGUGCGCCUCGUCGCGCGGUUGGCAUAAAUGCCAAGUCCUCGGCGACGCACGCCACGACAAUCGGUGGUUGCGAAACCUCGGUUGCCCGUCGUGUGCGGUCGUCGCGCAUCGAGGGCUCGAAAAAAUUGUCGGGCUCCGGCUCGGCUUUCAACGCGACCCCAGGUCAGGCGGGGUUACCCGCUGAAUUUAAGCAUAUCAAUAAGCGGAGGA
rnacentral:misc_RNA from 1 species